rnacentral:misc_RNA from 1 species
GAUGAAGAACGUAGCGAAAUGCGAUAAGUAAUGUGAAUUGCAGAAUUCAGCGAAUCAUCGAGUCUUUGAACGCACAUUGCGCCCCCUGGUAUUCCGGGGGGCAUGCCUGUCCGAGCGUCAUUGCUGCCCUCAAGCACGGCUUGUGUGUUGGGCUCCGCCCCCCUCCCGGGGGGCGGGCCCGAAAGGCAGCGGCGGCACCGCGUCCGGUCCUCGAGCGUAUGGGGCUUUGUCACCCGCUCUGUAGGCCCGGCCGGCGCCCGCCGGCGACCCCAAUCAAUCUUUCCAGGUUGACCUCGGAUCAGGUAGGGAUACCCGCUGAACUUAAGCAUAUCAAUAAGCGGAGGA